UUUUAUUUGAGAGUUUGAUCCUGGCUCAGGAUGAACGCUGGCGGCGUGCCUAACACAUGCAAGUUGAGCGAUUUACUUCGGUAAAGAGCGGCGGACGGGUGAGUAACGCGUGGGUAACCUACCCUGUACACACGGAUAACAUACCGAAAGGUAUGCUAAUACGGGAUAAUAUAUUUGAGAGGCAUCUC
rnacentral:rRNA from 1 species